AGAUCAUUAGUAUUCAUCUUUAGAGAAUUGCGAACCAAACAAAAGCCUUGCCUUGAGCAGCACUUUAGUUUUCUAGUCUUGGCUAAGUGAAAAUAAUUAUGAAGGGAAAAACAAGGUGGGAAUAGAAGCAUUUGGAAGAAAAAUUAUCAAAAGAAACUAAAGCGCAAAUCCUUUAUCUACCCUAGGAAGCAAAUGAAAAGAUUCCAACAAAGCAAGUGGUGAAGACAAUUCCAUCAUCUCCCUAUUCUUGAGGUUUUUUAACCUUUAAGGAGCAAGGGUUACAACAGAGGAAUUCAUACGAUUUACCAAAAAGUUCCUGAAAAGUUUCAAGAAAAUCAUUCCUUGAUAGUCUUUCAGGAUUCCUCAACACUUUUGAGAAGUGAUCAAGACUAGGUACCUUAUCCUUG
rnacentral:misc_RNA from 1 species